GCGAAAGAGGCCGUUGAGCCGCCGAGCCAGAAUCUCACCAUCGCCGGUCUUCUUCCAUCACCAUUCCAGGCCACCAAAUUCCAUCACCAUUUCAUCGCCGGAAUCUCACCAAAUUCCUCCAUCACCAUCAGCAAACAACAACAAAAAAAACCUCAAAUCUUUAGUGAAAAAGCAGAUCUAUUGAAUAAAAAUGAAAAAACCUCUCUUCCCCCUAAAAUUCCAGGCCACCUUCGAAAUCUCCUUCGAAAUUUGGGGCACCGCCGC
rnacentral:lncRNA from 1 species